UGUGACGUCAUCACGUCCACGCGAGCGAGCGCUAGGCCCGCCUGCUCUAUUUAAGUCGCGGGACUCAAUAUGGCGGCGCGCGCUCGGCCGCUUGACCCCGGUGUCCCCUAAAGCGGGUAAGGGAUGAAACUUUCUCAUCUCGAGUCAUGCUGUUUUCGGAAACGUAGGGAUGCGUUUUAAUCCCUAUGCGCCACCCGCGGGUCGGCCCUCACCUGCGAGUCGGCUGACCGUGAAAGACCCUCACUUGCUGUGCACCGGAAGGGCUUGGUCUUCUUGGCCUCUGUUUCCCGGAAGUGGUUUCCCUCCACCUCCUCAGGAGGGCCGGCCUUCCCUAAGGGCGGAGUCUAGGGCUUCUUUGGGACUGAAUAUGCAUUAGCUUUUGGAAGUCCAGCUAUGAUUUUCCCCUAAGCAUUGUUACAAAGGCCGGACUGCGGCUCUGGGCACCGUUCACAUCCUCGGCCGCCUUUGGCUUUGUGACCUUGGGCCGGUUGUAUAAGCUCUCUGAGCUUCCCAGGUGACUUCUCUGCAAAGUGGGCUGGUAACGCCCGAGUUGGUGCUAAAUCCUAAAGUUCAUGCUGCGAACCGGUCCCUCAACAGAUCAGCCUCUGUUUGGUCUGCUGGCAGGCCCCACGGGCUCCUGAGAGACGUGAGAAGCAGCUUUGUAUGGGAGCCACCUCUGCUCGCGUUUCCACCCAGAAUCAAAGGACUGACCAUUCUUUCAAUCCCUAAGCGGUGUCUUUUCUAUCUAAUCCUAAUAACCAAGCCUGGAGGAAUUGUAGACUUUCUGGUUAAAGGUUCAACAGGUCUCCUCGUUUAAGGAUAGAGUUAAGUCUCAGUGAAGCUACAGAGGAGAAUCUGAAAAAUGCAAAUGUUACUACCUUAACCGAAAGAGGGAGGAGGGGGCGCUUUCCUAAAUGGCCUUUACCUUGGACCUUUUCUUUCUCCUGGCAUUUGGGCUGCCAAGGAUCUUGCUUCUGCCCCACCAACACACUGAAAGCAAGAGCUCUUGACGUGAUGACUAAGGAAUAGAAUUUGGUUUUCAUUCGGAGACAGCUGAUUCUGAAGCCAUCUUAAAGCCUAAGCAUAGCACAACUGCAUUCAUGAUUCUAUGAAUUCUUCCUACCAUUGGAACUUAGGGAAGGGGAGAGGAAGUGUGCAUCUAGGAAAUGUGGAAGGACACGCUCUUCCUUCUUUCAUCCUUCCGCUGCCUUCUAACUCUGUGGUCGAGUGUGGUCUUCCCAGGAGAGCAUCUUCCAGGAAACUUAUUAGAAAGGAAGAACCCCAGGCCUCAUUUCACAUCUGAAGCAGAGUCUGCCUUGUAGCCGACUCCUCAGCCAUUGCUAGGCAUGCUAAAGUUGACGAGGCCGUGGUUUAACUCCUGGGGUGGUCUGGUUUAAAGUGAUGAGAUGGCAUCAAAGAUGACGGAAGGACAGAGUCAGCAGAGCCAGAAUUUGGGGCAGUGGAGGCAGAGCACCUAUUUCCUGCAUUUGGGCACUGCCAGCAGGUUGAUUCAGAAGAUGGGUGAAAAAUUUGUUCCUGGGGUAGCAGGAGGAGCAUCACGACUUUGGAAUCGUUUGCUUAAAAGAAGGAUGAGCUUGGCUGUUCAUACCAUACAUCCCGGAGGUCUUCAGCAAGGUGAGGUUCCUCUGACCAAGAAGCCGGCUGCCUAGAUGCGCUAAGCACAGCUCCCUCGCAUAUUCUGGAGCAUUGACCACAAUAGCCCUUUCGGUGGUCCUGGUGGCAGCCGUCCAGCCAGUUCUGCUGUCGUCUUUCUCGUGUGUUCCCAGCUGACACUACGGUCGUCUGGCAGCAGGAGGGUCCGCCUCUUCCACUCUUGGUGACGUUUCACAUUCUGGGAACCUCCUCCCGUCACCCCACAAUGGCGUUUUGUGUCUUGAUCCCCGUGGAAGAGCCCGGCGCACACACAGCUUAGCCUCUUCAUUCCUGGAGCCGUUCUACGUAUGCGAGACUGAAGCCAGGACAGAGGUCUUCAUCCUGGGUGUGCUUAUUCUUCACACCCUUCCCGAUGGUGGAGGUGAAGGUGCUGGUGGAUGAUAUAUCAGAAGCGACACCCCGGAACAGAGACCGCCUGUGACUGGAGCCCCAUUCCUGGCUGAACUGUACUGGGAAGAGCAGACCUGAGCAAGAUCUCUGAGACUUGGCCUCUGGCUUGAAGGUUGCACCACGGUGAGACUGAGAAGGCGCUUCCUGGAGGCCCCCAUUGACUCUGAAAGUUUCCAGUCUGGAAGAAAGAGAGCAGGUCGCUGCAAGCACUGAGGAUGAAAAGCCUCUGGAAACAAGGAACCGCCAGGCUUGGUCAGUGCCCCACCUGGAGAACAAGACCAGGGUCGCACCCUCAGCAUAGGGAAGCUCGUGGGCAUACGGAA
rnacentral:lncRNA from 1 species